rnacentral:lncRNA from 1 species
GCCGGACGUGGUGGCGCACGCCUUUAAUCCCAGCACUCGGGAGGCAGAGGCAGGCGGAUUUCUGAGUUCGAGGCCAGCCUGGUCUACAGAGUGAGUUUCAGGACAGCCAGGGCUACACAGAGAAACCCUGUCUCGAAAAACCAAAAAAAAAAAAAAAAAAAAAAAAAAAAUUGAUGUAUGAUAUUUAAUGUAUAGAGGAUAACACUUUUUAAAGACAGAGUUUCUCUGUAUUGGCUGUCCUGGAACUCGCUCUGUAAAACAAGUUGACCUUGAACUCAGAGAUUCCCCUGCCU